CGAGCACGCGCGUGUGGCAUAUCAAUAAGCGGAGGAAAAGAAACUAACAAGGAUUCCCCUAGUAACGGCGAGUGAAGCGGGAAGAGCUCAAAUUUGAAAUCUUAAAGGGUUUCCCUUUACGAAUUGUAGUUAAAAGAAGUGUUUUCUGUUGAGGUUUUGGUAAAAGUUCUUUGGAAUAGGACAUCAUAGAGGGUGAGAAUCCCGUAUUUGACCAUUAUUUUCAGCUUUGUGAUACACUUUCAAAGAGUCGGAUUGUUUGGGAAUGCAGUCCAAAAUGGGUGGUAAAUUUCAUCUAAAGCUAAAUAUUGGCGAGAGACCGAUAGCGAACAAGUACCGUGAGGGAAAGAUGAAAAGAACUUUGAAAAGAGAGUUAAACAGUACGUGAAAUUGUCAAAAGGGAAGCGUUUGACACCAGUGUUGUUUUUCUGAAAAUCAAUUAAAGAACUGUUUAUGCAAAGUUGUAUUAGACUUUAUCAGCUUAACUGCCUUUAGUUUCGUAGCUUUUCUUUAAUGCACUUUUCAGUUAACAAGUCAACAUCAAUUUCUUUUGUUGUAAAAAAGUCAUUGAGGAAGGUGGCUUUGAGCUUCGUAUAAGUGUUUAUAGCCUUUUGCUUCUGCAGUCGGAGAGAUUGAGGUCUGCAGCGUAGAUCCUUCGGGGUUAAUAGCAUUUGUGCUAAGCUAUAAGUUCUUUAUAGACAACUUGUUGACUAUAGUCUAGUCCUGUAGCUUACUCGCUUAUGCUAUUUUACCUACGCUUAGGAUGUUGAAGAUGUAGCACAUCAU
rnacentral:rRNA from 1 species